rnacentral:rRNA from 1 species
GACGAACGCUGGCGGCGUGCUUAACACAUGCAAGUCGAACGGUAAGGCCCUUCGGGGUACACGAGUGGUGAACGGGUGAGUAACACGUGGGUGAUCUGCCCUGCACUUCGGGAUAAGCCUGGGAAACUGGGUCUAAUACCGGAUAGGACUCCGGACUGCAUGGUCUGGGGUGGAAAGCUUUUGCGGUGUGGGAUGGGCCCGCGGCCUAUCAGCUUGUUGGUGGGGUGAUGGCCUACCAAGGCGACGACGGGUAGCCGGCCUGAGAGGGUGACCGGCCACAGUGGGACUGAGAUACGGACCAGACUCCUACGGGAGGCAGCAGUGGGGAAUAUUGCACAAUGGGCGCAAGCCUGAUGCAGCGACGCCGCGUGAGGGAUGACGGCCUUCGGGUUGUAAACCUCUUUCAGCAUCGACGAAGCGAAAGUGACGGUAGGUGCGGAAGAAGGACCGGCCAACUACGUGCCAGCCGCCGCGGUAA